rnacentral:lncRNA from 1 species
GUAAACUACCUUUCCCACCUUAGCAACAGUCUCUUCCUCCCCUCCUCUUGCAAACGGCAUAUUUACCAUAUGUAGAAAAGUUUAAGUCUUAGCCAAUAAUUGGGUUAGAUUGUUCAGUCCAACUCAAGCCAAUGGGGAGAGGACACAGUAACAGGAGCUGCGUUAGGGAUAAAAACUUUUCUCUCCUUUGUUUGGUAUGCUCUUGCAAUCAGACGGAUGCAGGCAGCACCCUUCUGCAGAAGUAAAUGUGCCUUGCUGAGAAAUGUUCUGUCUAAGUGCUGGCUUUUCUUUGAGGCACUGAGCACUUGUUUCUAACAAAAUGGGGGCACAUCUGGGAUCCCAUUCUCCUCCGGAGAAGGGUCUCCAAUCAUCUCUUGUGAGGAGACGUGUCUCACUGCAGCAGCCUCAAGAAUGAGGGAUUGAGACCCACCAGCAUGAUGAAUAUACCGAGACUCUCAGCAACAUGGAAGGAAAAGGCCUACAGAUGCCAUGGUGACCAAGUAAUUCUGUGCACAGACCAAGGAAAGUAUAAAAGAAGGCUGGAGACACCACUUCUGUAGUCUACUUUUGGCUUUCAUUGAACACGGUGGAGAAUUCAGAAUUUUUCAUUUUCUACCAAGAAAGCUGACAGAGGAAGAUGUUUCACAAUUAUGAGACUAAUCACAACAUGAAGGCACACAGCCGUCAGGACUCUAGACUCUACUGAUGAUGAUGAAAUUGAUCAUAUAAGUGAAAUCUCAGAGCGUGAGUCUUUAUAUAACAAAAUCCUGGCUGGGCACAGUGGCUCAUGCCUGUAACCCAGCACUUUGGGAGGCCGAGGCGGGCGGAUCAUGAGGUCAGGAGAUCGAGACCAUCCUGGCUAACAUGGUGAAACCCCGUCUCUACUAAACAUACAAAAAAAUUAGCUGGGUGUGGUGGCACGCACCUGUAGUCCCAGGUACUAGGGACGGUGAGGCAGGAGAAUCGCUUGAACCCAGGAGGGGGAGGUUGCAGUGAGCCGAGAUCGCACCACUGCACUCCAGCCUGGCAACAGAGUGAGACUCCGUCUCAAAUAAUAAUAAUAAUAAUAAUAAUAAUAAUAAUAAUAAUAAUAACAACAACAACAACAACAACAAUAAUAUCCUAGCUGAAUUUUCUCAAAUCAAAGAAUUAAUGGGUGAACAAAAAUAUAUCUUUAGAAAUGUAUCUCUAGAUGAAAAUGCAAUAUAGUAUUCUCAUCCAGUUUAGUCAUUUGACUCAAAGUAUCACACAAUGUCAUCACAUCUUGUUUUGCUAACAGGACUUGUGAUAGUGUUCUUUCAUCUUUAUUUUCAUCUAUUAUGAUACAAAUAAUUUUGCAAUGUUUAAAUUCUUUUAUAUACAUGAAAUAUUAUUCAGCCUUUAAAAAGAUGGAAAUCCUGUUAUUUGUGAUAACACAAAUGACCCUGGGGGACACUGUAUUAAGUAAAAUCUGCCAGGCACAGAAAGACAAAUACUGUAUGAUCCUGCUCCUAUGUGGAAUCUAAAAAAAGCUGAACUACAGAGAGUAGAGUAGCAGUAGCCAGGGGCUGAGAGUGCUGGUAAUGUGUGUGGAAUGGAGAGAUGGUGGUCAAAGGGUACAGGUUUCAGUUGUGCAGGAUGAUUACGUUCUGGAGAUCUAACGUAGAGGAUGGUGACUACUGUUAAUAAUACUGUGUUGUAUUCUUGAAAUUUGCUAAGAUAGUAGAUCUUAAAUAUUCUCAUCACACACGUAAAAAAUGCUAACUAUGUGAGGUGACGAAUGUGUUAAUUAGCCUGACUGUAGUAAUCAUUUCACAAUGUAUAUAUACAUGUAUUAAAACAUCACAUUGUAUACCUUAAAUAUAUACAAUUUUAUUUGUCAAUUUUAUCCCAAUAAAGCUAGAAAAAAAUAAAAAUAAGAAUUUUAAACAACUUUAUUCAAGCUUUGGAUCUGCUAAACUAACAAGUCAAUUUACUUGGCAAAAACAAUUUGACUAAAUGCUUGUCUUUGUACUGGUGAAAAUAAAUUAGUGAAUCGGAAAGCAUCUUUAAAGUUAUUUGUUCAUCUUUGUCCUCUCUUCACACCACAUCAAUCUAAUGUAACAGUACCCAACUCUUAAAUAGAAGGAAUGCCUAGUAAUUAAAGGUGUAAAGAAUUUGAUUGAAAGCUUAUGUUAUAUCUUUAACAUUGCGUUGAAAACAUUCAAUUAAUACUGAUGAUGAUUUCAUUUUUCUUCACUUUUCAUUGGAAAGUCAAGAUGUUUGUAAAUACAGAUUACUGAUGACAGCAAUGAGUUAAAUCUGCUCAUAAAUUUGUGUCAGUGUAUUUUGACAGGUAGAAUGUAUUGUAUAUCUAACUCCCACUGUACAUAUUUGUCUGUUUUUCCCAAUUUAUAAUAAUCCCAAAAAGGGUGCAGUAAGGGACAUACUGAUUCUAUAAUAUGUUUUUGUGUUUUCAUUUAUUUUGUAGACUCAUUUCCAAUUUAGUUAUACUACAAGCUUUGCCAUGAUUUAUGGUUAUAACUUGUUUGUGUUUGGAUAUAUAUAUUUCUAUCUGCAUACAAAGGCUCUGGUUAAUGCAGCCUGAUGUUUCAAAACUAAAAAAAAAAUCUUAUUAAAGUUCCUAGUAAAG